UACGUAGGGUGCAAGCGUUAAUCGGAAUUACUGGGCGUAAAGCGUGCGCAGGCGGUGAUGUAAGACAGAUGUGAAAUGCCCGGGCUUAACCUGGGAACUGCAUUUGUGACUGCAUGGCUAGAGUGUGUCAGAGGGGGGUAGAAUUCCACGUGUAGCAGUGAAAUGCGUAGAUAUGUGGAGGAAUACCGAUGGCGAAGGCAGCCCCCCUGGGAUAACACUGACGCUCAUGCACGAAAGCGUGGGGAGCAAACAGG
rnacentral:rRNA from 1 species